rnacentral:lncRNA from 1 species
CCUCUGUGUGUGUCUGCGUCUCACACCCCUCUUCUUGUAAGGACACCCGUUAAGUGGAGUGAGAGCUACCCUAAUGACCUCAUCCUAGUUUUUCAAUCCAAAUGUACAGGUACUGAGCCCAUAUGAAAUAGGACACAAUUAAGAAAUGACCCUCUCCCCAUCUCCCAUUUCCUGCUGACUCACUUGCUUUCUACAAUCAUCCUGUCUUCUAGAACAUGCUUACAUACGGAAGCUUAGACUCCCCAGAGAGCGGCGGGUAGCACAGCCCAGGGAAUCCCUCAACCGACCAGACCUUUGUUCUCUCAAAUCUCUGGAUCCGCUCCUGCUGCUUUGCCUUGAGUCCUUUGCCUUGAGCUGGGGUAGGGGAGGGGCCCCUCGAAGACAGGCAGCUCCCUUCCUUCCUGACUCAC